CCUACGGGAGGCAGCAGUGGGGGAUAUUGGACAAUGGGGGAAACCCUGAUCCAGCGACGCCGCGUGAGUGAAGAAGUAUUUCGGUAUGUAAAGCUCUGUCAGCAGGGAAGAAAGAAAUGACGGUACCUGACCAAGAAGCCCCGGCUAACUACGUGCCAGCAGCCGCGGUAAUACGUAGGGGGCAAGCGUUAUCCGGAAUUACUGGGUGUAAAGGGAGCGUAGACGGUGAUGCAAGUCUGGAGUGAAAGGCGGGGGCCCAACCCCCGGACUGCUCUGGAAACUGUGUAACUUGAGUGCAGGAGAGGUAAGCGGAAUUCCUAGUGUAGCGGUGAAAUGCGUAGAUAUUAGGAAGAACACCAGUGGCGAAGGCGGCUUUCUGGACUGAAACUGACGCUGAGGCACGAAAGCGUGGGGAGCGAACAGGAUUAGAUACCCUUGUAGUC
rnacentral:rRNA from 1 species